UUUCCUUUCCUGGAUGCUGUGUGUCUCAGUUCCAGCUGAGGUCCUAAUUCAGCUGUCCCGCAGCUAUUAGCUGUCAUGGCUGCAUGACCUGCCUCUGUGUUGGGCAGGGAGAGCUCACAUUGCUUAGAGCUUGUCCAAAGGUGGAAAAAUCUGCAAUUCAGCAGUGGAAGAAAUGGCUCUUAUGAAUGGCAGAGUUGGUGCACCUGAUGUGGCAAAAACUCCAGUAUUACAACAAAUGCCCUCCACAAGCAUUCAAUGAUUUAACAAGUCAGUCUCUGAAAUUGAGUAAAUGUUUUACAGAGAGAAAGAGAGUAUAAUUGUUUUCCUAACUGGUUGUGGAACAGUGUUACCACAUCUGUGCCUCAAGACAGCUAGCUGUUCACACUUCCAGGUAAGCUCCUUGGUGAACAAGUUCUUCAGCUUAACUGACUAGAUCCAGAUGGGAUACCAACAGCAGCUGUGGUCACACCUUUUCAUUAAAUCAAGCCUCUGAUUCUGCGUGAUGUAGGGGAGUUUUGUCAUUGACCUAAUUAGGAUCAAAAGCAAAUCCCAAUCUGCCUGCAAGACCCUGUGAUGUCAGUUAAAAGUUGUGCCAUUUUACUUUUGUACCAACUUCUUAACACAUCAUGGCUUCCAUCUGCAUGUGCACAGAGACCAACCACAGCUCUUAGGCAAGCAUUUGGGAUUAAGCUGAUCAAAAAUAGAAUAGUGGACGAGAAUCUGCUUCAACUUAUUUUAUGUUUCAUACCAAUUUAACUCCAUUAAUUGUCAUGGAAUUUCUUUUCAGUUGCACUGUUGCAAUCAAGGGCAGAGCUUUUGCCCCAAGUGUUUCCCAGCUUCAGGAAUCUUUUAAUUUCUCUAAUUUUUCUUGAUGUUGUUUCACUAACCCUUCUUCAUCUUUGCUGCUGAAUAUACAUUUGAUUAUUAAAUUUGGUGCUUCUCUUCACAUGACCUAUUUCUUUUGCGUCUUAAUGCUGUUGCUUGGAUACACUUCUAAGUCAGGCACUUGGUCUCAUCUUGCUUUUCUCUAUGCUUUGGGCAAUACAAAUGGCUUGCUGUUGAAUAUUUUUUCAGAUUUUUAAAUGUAUGUGGUUUGUCUGGCACCUUGGUUUCAGCAGAACUUUUGUCUUAUUACAGAUGUGUUGUUUUACGAACAGUAAAUCCUGUGUAACAUUGAGUAGCUCCCUAUUGCUUUUCUUUAGUCAGUUACAAAAAUGGCACCAUUAUGCAGAGGAGAGGCCAAUCACUACCAAAUUUAUGGGAAUACCAAUAUUUAUAGAUAAACAGGGAGAUACUUAAUCUCCUUUUUAGAUGUAUACUAUAGCUGCAAGUUCAUUCCUUACAUGAAUUAAUCUUUUUGGUUUAGUCCUAGACUAGUAAAAGUAUACUACAGGAAUAAACUAAAGCAUUUUAAUUUGAGCUGAGGUAUUCUUACUCCUGUAUGGAGUUUUGCUUAUACCAUUUUGAAAAAGGUAUAGUAGACUAGAACAAGAAAAAGCUGAAGGAAGUGUGGCAGAGACUUUCAGAGAUAGUGAGUAGCUACCAUGUGUGGAGAGGUUAAAAAAGGUUAGAAUUCUUGGCCUAGAAGAGUGACAAUGGAAAGCAGCACAAGAAAAAUCUUUAAAGCAAGGGAUAGUUUGGAAAGGUAAAUAAAAAGCAAGCAGUCUUGCUUCAAUACAAUACAAGAUUUAGGAACAUCCUGUGAAUCAUAUAAUGGAUGGAUAAAAAGAAGAAGGAAUUACAUUUUCAUGUGACAAAAAUAGUGGAAUGUGAUGCUGUUGCAGUCUGAGGAGCCAGUACUAUGAAAGAGGGAGUAGGUGGGGUAAUGGAAUGUGUCUGUUGGUUGCUGUUGAAGAUAGCAGCCAGAUACAAACCUCACCUCAAACCUGUGGUCACUGAUCGCUAGAAGCCGGCAAAAAAAGUACAACAGGAAGGUUCAGAGCAUGUUGCUAGAUUUUUGUAUGGGUUGUACAAUUUAUACAAUGUGUUGUCUGGCCUGUGUUGCUGUAUCUUCACUGCUGCUUGUAUGUGUGCUAUCUUUAACAGGAUUAAAGAUAGCACAAAUACACCUCCUCAUGCUACAGGCACAUCUUGAUUUUGCUGUGUAGGUAUUUUGGACAUGUAGAACAAGUCUGAGGAGGAAGGGGAAACUUCUGAAAUCUACUCUUGUCAAAACAUUCCAUAUGCUUACUGGUAUGUGGCUAAGUAAACACACAUAUGUGAGUGUUUAAUAGCAUGUAUUUUCUUUGUAGGUGCACCCAAAAUUCCAUUAUGGUUUGUACUGCUGGGGCGAUAACAGAAAUCAAGGAAUUAGAAUUCUGUGAAGAGAGAAGUAAUUGAUAGUGAUAUGAUGUAGAAGCACAUGCCUGAAAUGAGUUAAGUACCUAGACAUUCAAUUUAUUAACAGUAUUACCAAAUAUUAUUUCUGUGAAGAUGUUACUGGAGGCUGUGUGAAACACAAUUAUCACAUAUGCUUAUUGACAAUCCUAAUGAGAAUAACUUCUAUAAUCAUGUUAUUGAUGGGAAACUUCUUGUGCAAAGAACUGCUGGCUUGUGAGGUCGAUGCAGAACACUGCUCUCUCAAGCAAAAGACUGAAGUGCCCACCUCACUGGAGAAGCAAAAAACUAAAUAAACUGCUUAAGCAUUAGCUGUCUAGUACCAUUUUAGUUGCUAUGUGGUACAUCUCUCCUGUCCUCCAGCUGUUUCAGAAAGCUGCAGACCCACCAUUAGUCUUGUGGUGUAUCUGCCAGUCCCUGCAGAUAGCUUUGAUACCCAAGGGUGUGUCAAGUAGCACUAGAUGAUGCAGAUGAAUUCUGUGAGUGGCAGCUGAAAGGUCACCCAAGGGGCUCCAGCUGACACUCCAUCAGCUCAUCCAUUAUACUCUGGCUACAGUCUGCAUUGUGACAGAGACAUACCAUUAAAAUGCUAUAAUCAGCUAACAGAAUCACUGGACUGGACUACAGUCACAAAUGGAUACAAGCUUGGGAUUUAUAUUUAGCUAUGGUGAUAGUGCAGUUUGCAAAUUAGCAUGGGCAUACCUGAUCCAUCUUUAAAUUAGCUAAUCCUCUUAAUGGAAAAUUUCUGAUCACUGCAACACUGUGCUUGGCACAAGGUAAUUUACUUUUGCCAUGGUGGUGUUUCCACUGUGCCAGCAGUGUGUGUGUAUGCAGAUUACAUUUUAGACACAUCCACCAUCUACUUAUGAAUCCUAGUUUUCUUUUGUGAACAUGGAGUUAUGUGCUAACCUUUAUGUAUGGCUAGCAAAAUGAGAACCUUUUAGAAAGAAGUGUAACAGUUAAGAAUUCAUUGCAUAGCAAGAAUGUGACACCUAGUGGAUAGAUGACAUUGAGGAAAUGUGAGUUCCCAUCAAGGAUUAUUGACAUUAAAUGACCCUAUCCAGUAGAACAACAAAGUAGAUACCAAAAAAGACACUGAUCUUGAAUGACUGUUUACACAGGGCCAAAGUAAUUGUGUGAUGGCAAGUCCGCCCUGAAAGCUCAGAAGUGAAGGUGGUAAGAGGUUGGUUUAGAAGGAUUUUUUUUGUAAGCCACUAGCAGAAUGAAGAUGUCAGGCCAAGAAGGCUAGAGAGCUUUAAAAAAACAGAGACUAAAGCCCAUGAAGACCUUGUGGAUAUUCAAGAGAUGCAUCAUAACUGGAGAUUUGCAACAACCAAAACACAAGAAUAAAGCAUGUCUAA